AUGCCCACUCUGGCAGCACAUAUACUGCAACUGGAACAAUACAGAGAAAAUUAGCAUGCCCCCCCACACACAAGGAAGACAUGCAAAUUCAAAAAGCAAAAACAGCCAGGGAUUU
rnacentral:snRNA from 1 species